rnacentral:rRNA from 1 species
UAGGGAAUCUUCGGCAAUGGGGGGAACCCUGACCGAGCAACGCCGCGUGGGUGAAGAAGGUUUUCGGAUCGUAAAGCUCUGUUGUUAAGGAAGAACGGGCGUGAGAAUGGAAAGUUCAUACUGCGACGGUACUUAACCACAAAGGGACGGCUAAUUACGUGCAAGCAGCCGCGGUAAUACGUAGGUCACGAGCGUUGUCCGGAUUGAUUGGGCGUAAAGCGUGCGCAGGCGGUUAGAUAAGUCUGAAGUUAAAGGAAGUGGCUUAAACAUUGUAGGCUUUGGAUACUGUUUAACUUGAGUGCUGAAGGGGAGAGUGGAAUUCCAGGUGUGGCGGUGAAAUGCGUAGUUAUAUGGAGGAACACCGGUGGCGAAAGCGGCUCUCUGGUCUGUAACUGACGCAGAGGCUCGAAAGCGUGGGGAGCGAGCAGG